rnacentral:lncRNA from 1 species
CCUAUAUUGGUUAACUUUUCCAUAUCGUGACUUGGAUGGAGAGUUGUCUCAUUGGCACUCAUACCACAUCUACUUAUAUCUAUCUUCAUCAAAAUAUGGCAAACAAAGAAAAAAAUAAACACAUAUAAAUGGAGACAUCUGCUGAUUUAUUUCAGAUAUAAACAGUCACGAACUCUGUCAUUGUCAUAGUAACAGCAAAAGACCAUUUGACCUUCAACAACCAAUCAAAACUAAUACAAAGGAUCAUGUGAUUAAAAGAAAUAGUUACAUUACAAUUUAUUAGGAUGACUUUUUCAAGUUAAAAUUGGUCAAAAGUAAGAGAUAUGUGUGUCAAAAGUUUGACUUGUGCUUGCAUACUAUAUGGCACUUUUAACCUUUGUUGAAGGUCAGAAGGUCAAAUGCAUAAAUUAAAAUUGUCUUGAGCAAAAGUAACAUUGCACAAUCUUUCUGAAUGCCACUGGCAAGGAAAAAAAAACUAUUACAAAAUUUGAAUGUAUUAAAUAAUGGCCAAAAGUAAAUUUAAUUUUAGUUGAAUUAUGAGUUUUACAUCACUCUAAUAACAAUUGAUUUUGAAUUGAUUUUUCUACAAAUUGGAACUAAAAGUACAACAACCUGAACCAUGCACAUCUAGUGCUUUGUAAAUUGAACAAAAAUAUCAAAAUACAAAAUACAUAUACAGAAAUCUGAAUAUAUGGAAGUAAACAUUUGAAAACAGGUAUUGAACCUCUAAAUAAGUAUCUUUUGGCCAAAUAAAUUACAAAAAGAUUAUAUGUAAAAAAUUUAAGUAGCAUUGCCAGGGAACUUGGUUUGGAAAUUUCCACAAUAAAAAACCACCAUGUAACCAUGGUGACCUGGGAGUGGAUGUUUUACAAUAAAAUGACCAUGUAACCAUCACACAUCUACAAUUUACAAUCACACAACUAAAUAAUUUAGUCUCUGACCAGAGAAUCAACAACUAACUAUACAGAACUACUGAUGAAAAUUUGGUUGUGUACAGACAGUCAAACUGCAUAAAUAUAAUGCCCUAGAAAUGAAAGGGGAACGAAACAUAUAUGAUGUGUUCAAAUAUGAAAUCUGGACCCAUGACUAAGUGUUGAGUUAAAAUUUUAAGUUUUCCUACAGCAUUACAGAUUUGGCUUAAAUGAUGCAUUUCAAAAUCAAAGCCAAUUUUGUUUAUUCAGAAUUGCAUAUUAUGGGUAUAGUAGUGUAGGCUAAUAUAAUUUGUUAACAAAUGGUUAGAAUCUUGUGGAAAGUUUACUUGAAUUGUUAACAAGUGUAUAUAUAUAUACUGUCUGUACACAUCCAAAUUCAAUUGUUACUAUAAAUAGAUUUCCUAUUUACAUGAUAUUUCAGACUAUAUAUAAAAGAGGUCAAGGAAUUUAUUUAUUUAAAGUUUUGAUUAGUUAAUUCAUUUAGUCACAAAUCAUCUAAUUUACAUAAUUUUUAUCUUAAUCCAUUUAUUAAAUAUUUAUAAACAAAUUAUCACAGGCUACUAACUAUUUUACCCAUAAAAACUGUACCUUUCUAAUCUGUACUAUCAAUUGUCUUUAAUAUGUACAGUCAAUUGUCUUUAAUCUGUACAGUCAAUUGUCUUAUCAUAAAAACAUAUAAGUGAUUUGUAUAGUUAAUUGUCUUUAUUAGGAAAAAACUUAAUUAGAUUAUCUUGAUGAAUAAAAGAGCAUCCUGAAGCUAAUCUCGAUAUUUAUAAAAAUUAAAUAUUCCAAACAAAAUUGAACUUUUAUUUCAAAUACAUUAUUCGUUUUUACCAUUAUAAAAGAUUUUAGUAAGAAAUUCUUUUUAAUAAAUACUAGCAUUAUACUCUUUCAAUAGAAAUACAAAACUCUCUUUGAUGGAGGUAAUAAAGUUCAAAUUAUAAUAAACAUUCAAAACCUUCAACAUAUAUUGCUUUGUCAUUAGACAAUUAGUAAAAUUAUUAUAGAAAUCAUUGGAGAAUUAUAUUUAUAAAAAAGUCCUAAAUAUUGCACAGAUAUAUUGUUAAUUCUACCUUAACCAAAAAAUUAAAUAAGAAAUGAGUAGAAAAGGACAAAUAAUAAAACAAAAGAAAAAAAGGUCUUGAAUAUAAGAUAUUGCUUUCAUUUUUACCCUGUAUCAAGAAUAUUUUUUGUUAGUUUUAUGAAAAUGACAUAUUAUUUUCAACUAAAAAAAAGAACACAAAUUUUGUACAGCAGUUUGGAAAAAAACAACAGAAAAGCUUUGUUCAUGAAAAAUAUUCUGAGUAUUACUUAUCUAAAUACUGUUUAAUAAGCUAUACCGAAAUUGUCUACCCUCCUUUUGAAGAUAUAAUUCCUAGAACUUGUUUGAAGCUAGAGUUAUUUCCCUUGAGAAGACAAAGAACAGACAACUACUGAACGGAUUAAGUAGAUUUUGGUAUAAAAGUGUAUUUUAUUUAUCUAUUUUUAUGAAAAACAUGAAGUUAACUUAGCAGACUUUAAAUGAAUUAUCAUUGGUGAGCAGAAUUAAAUAAUGAAACAAUACUAUUCACUGAAGCACUUUCUUUGUCAA